CGAAGCGUUCUCUAGGGUUCCGCAGCGAUAUGCUUGACGCAGCUGGUCUGGUCCGAGAGAGAACCGCAGCUUGCGCUGUGACACGGAGGGAUAAAAGCCUGGGAGAU
rnacentral:sRNA from 2 species